CAGUAAGUAUUUUAAUAAAAAUAUUAGUUUUGGAGACUAAAGAUGAUUUAAUUUCUUUACUGA
rnacentral:tRNA from 2 species